UACGUAGGGGGCAAGCGUUGUCCGGAUUUAUUGGGCGUAAAGAGCGUGUAGGCGGUUUGGUAGGUCCGCUGUGAAAACUCGAGGCUCAACCUCGAGACGCCGGUGGAAACCAUCAGACUAGAGUCCGGAAGAGGAGAGUGGAAUUCCUGGUGUAGCGGUGAAAUGCGCAGAUAUCAGGAGGAACACCAAUUGCGAAGGCAACUCGCUGGGACGUUACUGACGCUGAGAACGCGAAAGCGUGGGGGAGUCAAACAGG
rnacentral:rRNA from 1 species